UAACUUAGUGGCGAACGGGUGAGUAACGCGUGAGUAACCUGCCCUGGAGUGGGGGACAACAGUUGGAAACGACUGCUAAUACCGCAUAAGCCCACGGCCCGGCAUCGGGCUGAGGGAAAAGGAUUUAUUCGCUUCAGGAUGGACUCGCGUCCAAUUAGCUAGUUGGUGAGGUAACGGUCCACCAAGGCGACGAUUGGUAGCCGGACUGAGAGGUUGAACGGCCACAUUGGGACUGAGACACGGCCCAGACUCCUACGGGAGGCAGCAGUGGGGGAUAUUGCACAAUGGGGGAAACCCUGAUGCAGCGACGCCGCGUGGAGGAAGAAGGUUUUCGGAUUGUAAACUCCUGUCGUUAGGGACGAUAAUGACGGUACCUAACAAGAAAGCACCGGCUAACUACGUGCCAGCAGCCGCGGUAAAACGUAGGGUGCAAGCGUUGUCCGGAAUUACUGGGUGUAAAGGGAGCGCAGGCGGACCGGCAAGUUGGAAGUGAAAUCCAUGGGCUCAACCCGUGAAUUGCUUUCAAAACUGCUGGCCUUGAGUAGUGCAGAGGUAGGUGGAAUUCCCGGUGUAGCGGUGGAAUGCGUAGAUAUCGGGAGGAACACCAGUGGCGAAGGCGACCUACUGGGCACCAACUGACGCUGAGGCUCGAAAGCAUGGGUAGCAAACAGGAUUAGAUACCCUGGUAGUCCAUGCCGUAAACGAUGAUUACUAGGUGUUGGAGGAUUGACCCCUUCAGUGCCGCAGUUAACACAAUAAGUAAUCCACCUGGGGAGUACGACCGCAAGGUUGAAACUCAAAGGAAUUGAUGGGGGCCCGCACAAGCAGUGGAGUAUGUGGUUUAAUUCGAAGCAACGCGAAGAACCUUACCAGGUCUUGACAUCCGAUGCAUAGUGCAGAGAUGCAUGAAGUCCUUCGGGACAUCGAGACAGGUGGUGCAUGGUUGUCGUCAGCUCGUGUCGUGAGAUGUUGGGUUAAGUCCCGCAACGAGCGCAACCCUUAUUGCCAGUUACUACGCAAGAGGACUCUGGCGAGACUGCCGUUGACAAAACGGAGGAAGGUGGGGAUGACGUCAAAUCAUCAUGCCCUUUAUGACCUGGGCUACACACGUACUACAAUGGCGUUUAACAAAGAGAAGCAAGACCGCGAGGUGGAGCAAAACUCAAAAACAACGUCUCAGUUCAGAUUGCAGGCUGCAACUCGCCUGCAUGAAGUCGGAAUUGCUAGUAAUCGCAGAUCAGAAUGCUGCGGUGAAUACGUUCCCGGGCCUUGCACACACCGCCCGUCA
rnacentral:rRNA from 1 species